rnacentral:rRNA from 1 species
GACAGAGGGUGCAAACGUUGUUCGGAAUUACUGGGCGUAAAGCGCGUGUAGGCUGCUUGGAAAGUCGGGUGUGAAAGCCCUGAGCUCAACUCAGGAAGUGCAUCCGAAACUGGCGAGCUAGAGUACGAAAGAGGAUCGCGGAAUUCCCGGUGUAGAGGUGAAAUUCGUAGAUAUCGGGAGGAACACCGGUGGCGAAGGCGGCGAUCUGGGUCGAUACUGACGCUGAGGUGCGAAAGCGUGGGGAGCAAACAGG